rnacentral:tRNA from 1 species
AGCGGGGUGGAGGAGUAGUACCUCACAAGGCUCAUAACCUUGGGACCCGGGUGCAAAUCCCGGCCCCGCAACAA